AUCUAUAAUCAUACCACCCUGAACACACCCAGUCUUGUCUGAUCUUGGAAGCUAAGCAAGGUUGGGCCUGGUUAGUAAUUGGAUGGGAGAAAUAUAAUGAUGUGCCAUUACUUUUA
rnacentral:rRNA from 1 species